rnacentral:tRNA from 3 species
GGAAAGAUGCCGGAGUGGUCGAACGGGGCGGACUCGAAAUCCGCUAUACGGCUCUGCUGUAUCCAGGGUUCGAAUCCCUGUCUUUCCG